CAGUAGCCGCGGUAAUACGUAGGGUGCGAGCGUUAAUCGGAAUUACUGGGCGUAAAGCGUGCGCAGGCGGUUCGUUAAGACAGAUGUGAAAUCCCCGGGCUUAACCUGGGAACUGCAUUUGUGACUGGCGAGCUAGAGUAUGGCAGAGGGGGGUAGAAUUCCACGUGUAGCAGUGAAAUGCGUAGAGAUGUGGAGGAAUACCGAUGGCGAAGGCAGCCCCCUGGGCCAAUACUGACGCUCAUGCACGAAAGCGUGGGGAGCAAACAGGAUUAGAGACCCCUGUAGUCCCUGUCUCUUAUAC
rnacentral:rRNA from 1 species